UGCAGUGGGAGGCCGCUGGGUUAAUUUUUCUGGUUGACUCACGCAAAGGGAAGAUGUAACCUGUGCGGGCGGGAGGAGAUUUGAACAGAGACACAGGAGAUCUCAGAUGCUGGAAUCUGGAGCGACAGAUAGUGGGCCGAGCAGCAUCAGAAUCAGAUGGGCUGAUGCAGGUUUGGGAUCCCUAAGAAAUUUCAAGAGAUAACAGUUAUACCAUUAAUGGUAGAACUCAGAAAAGCCUUGCAUCAUUUUACUUGCUGUUAUUACCCACAAUCUACUGGGGCAGCUGGAAGACAGAAUGCGACCCCGAAUAGCAGGAGAAACAAAACUUCUCAUGGAGCCAACCAUUGAUGGGGCACCAUCAGUACAGAUGCCAACGAAGUUCCUCCAAGACAGACCUUUUGUUUCCAGAUAUGAAGACAAACCAUGUAUCUUGGCCUUUGUGUGUUUCAGGAAGCUCUUUGCAACAGAAAAACUUUUCUUGAAUUUCAGCAUCACUUACAAAUCUUACGAAUGCUACAACAUGACAUUUAUUGGUGAAAUCUGUUGACCCAUCAACAGCUUCAAUAGAGAAGCUGUUGUUUUUCAGUUUAUCACACAAAAUCUCUUCGGCAUUGCGUGACAUGACAUCAAUACGUCGACUUAAUCAUACUGAUUGAGAGUGAAACUUUUGCAGAUUUUUGUGUUGCAUCUUGUCCGAACGCAGGGGUAAUAAAAUAUAAAAAAGAAAGGCAUUACAAAAAACUAAAUGAGAAAACUACAAAAAUAUGAAAACUUCAUAAUAAUAUUCACUUCUAAACUACACAAUUCACCUUUUGCAAUGUUUAUAACAACAGCAAAGUGGCAGGCCAGCACCUGGGUUGCAGCGUGUAAAAACUCCUUUAGAAAAAAAAUUUCCCUCCAAUUUUCUACUACACCGAUAGAGUUUGUUUGCUCCCAUAAGUCAGCCAGUGGUGCGUAAGGGGAAGUUGGGGGAGGUAUUCAGGAGGGAGAGGCUAACAUCGCAGUCCAAGUUGGGUGAGUUUAUUCAAUGCUGAGAAAACACCCUUCAUGCUCCUCAUUAAUCAACCGUGCUCCCCUCCAUGGAAUACACCGCUCACCAAUUAUCAGCCUGCUGUCUUCUGCUCCGUGCAAUACUGCAUUCACCAAUUAUUAACCUACUGCCCUCCCCUCUAUGCAAUACAGCGCUCGCCAAUUAUCAACAGCCUCCCCUAUCCUGUGUCAAAAACCGAAAAUGGACUGCACACUGGGCUAAGAGAUCUCUAAUGAGAUUGCUAACGAGUCGGCUUAGUCACUGCCCACCACUGCAAGGCUAGCAUCACAUUCAAAAACAAUGUUUAUUUCUUUUCAAUCAUGACCUCUCACGGAACCUUAGGGUUCCAUGGGGUCCUGGUUGAGAAACCUGUUAUAGAGUAUUUUUUUAGUGCUGCAUUGGAUUUGAAGUAACAAUUAUUUCAUCUCCACUUAUUUACUUUUAUUCCAUUUGUGUACUGGAAAUGAUACUAAACAAUUUUGAAUCUUGAUUACAUUGUUUUGCUGUAGUUUGGAGUCAAAUAUAGGCCAGACUAUUAGAAAUUUUCUUUCAUUAAGGGUAAUGGUGAACCAGAUUUAUUUGAAUGACAAUCUGU